CACUAUCGUUAACUGAAUACAUAGGUUAACGAGGCGAACCGGGGGAACUGAAACAUCUAAGUACCCCGAGGAAAAGAAAUCAACCGAGAUUCCCCCAGUAGCGGCGAGCGAACGGGGAGCAGCCCAGAGUCUGAAUCAGCUUGUGUGUUAGUGGAACGGUCUGGAAAGUCCGACGGUACAGGGUGAUAGUCCCGUACACCAAAAUGCACAGGCUGUGAACUCGAAGAGUAGGGCGGGACACGUGGUAUCCUGUCUGAAUAUGGGGGGACCAUCCUCCAAGGCUAAAUACUCCUGACUGACCGAUAGUGAACCAGUACCGUGAGGGAAAGGCGAAAAGAACCCCGGCGAGGGGAGUGAAAAAGAACCUGAAACCGUGUACGUACAAGCAGUGGGAGCACCUUCGGGUGUGACUGCGUACCUUUUGUAUAAUGGGUCAGCGACUUAUAUUCUGUAGCAAGGUUAACCGUAUAGGGGAGCCGCAGGGAAACCGAGUCUUAACUGGGCGUUAAGUUGCAGGGUAUAGACCCGAAACCCGGUGAUCUAGCCAUGGGCAGGUUGAAGGUUGGGUAACACUAACUGGAGGACCGAACCGACUAAUGUUGAAAAAUUAGCGGAUGACUUGUGGCUGGGGGUGAAAGGCCAAUCAAACCGGGAGAUAGCUGGUUCUCCCCGAAAGCUAUUUAGGUAGCGCCUCGUGAAUUCAUCUUCGGGGGUAGAGCACUGUUUCGGCUAGGGGGUCAUCCCGACUUACCAACCCGAUGCAAACUACGAAUACCGAAGAAUGUUAUCACGGGAGACACACGGCGGGUGCUAACGUCCGUCGUGAAGAGGGAAACAACCCAGACCGCCAGCUAAGGUCCCAAAGUCAUGGUUAAGUGGGAAACGAUGUGGGAAGGCACAGACAGCCAGGAUGUUGGCUUAGAAGCAGCCAUCAUUUAAAGAAAGCGUAAUAGCUCACUGGUCGAGUCGGCCUGCGCGGAAGAUGUAACGGGGCUAAACCAUGCACCGAAGCUGCGGCAGCGACACUAUGUGUUGUUGGGUAGGGGAGCGUUCUGUAAGCCUGCGAAGGUGUGCUGUGAGGCAUGCUGGAGGUAUCAGAAGUGCGAAUGCUGACAUAAGUAACGAUAAAGCGGGUGAAAAGCCCGCUCGCCGGAAGACCAAGGGUUCCUGUCCAACGUUAAUCGGGGCAGGGUGAGUCGACCCCUAAGGCGAGGCCGAAAGGCGUAGUCGAUGGGAAACAGGUUAAUAUUCCUGUACUUGGUGUUACUGCGAAGGGGGGACGGAGAAGGCUAUGUUAGCCGGGCGACGGUUGUCCCGGUUUAAGCAUGUAGGCUGGUUGUCCAGGCAAAUCCGGAUAAUCAAGGCUGAGGUGUGAUGACGAGGCACUACGGUGCUGAAGUAACAAAUGCCCUGCUUCCAGGAAAAGCCUCUAAGCAUCAGGUAACAUCAAAUCGUACCCCAAACCGACACAGGUGGUCAGGUAGAGAAUACCAAGGCGCUUGAGAGAACUCGGGUGAAGGAACUAGGCAAAAUGGUGCCGUAACUUCGGGAGAAGGCACGCUGGUGUGUAGGUGAAGUCCCUGCGGAUGGAGCUGAGACCAGUCGAAGAUACCAGCUGGCUGCAACUGUUUAUUAAAAACACAGCACUGUGCAAACACGAAAGUGGACGUAUACGGUGUGACGCCUGCCCGGUGCCGGAAGGUUAAUUGAUGGGGUUAUCCGUAAGGAGAAGCUCUUGAUCGAAGCCCCGGUAAACGGCGGCCGUAACUAUAACGGUCCUAAGGUAGCGAAAUUCCUUGUCGGGUAAGUUCCGACCUGCACGAAUGGCGUAAUGAUGGCCAGGCUGUCUCCACCCGAGACUCAGUGAAAUUGAACUCGCUGUGAAGAUGCAGUGUACCCGCGGCAAGACGGAAAGACCCCGUGAACCUUUACUAUAGCUUGACACUGAACAUUGAGCCUUGAUGUGUAGGAUAGGUGGGAGGCUUUGAAGCGUGGACGCCAGUCUGCGUGGAGCCAACCUUGAAAUACCACCCUUUAAUGUUUGAUGUUCUAACGUUGGCCCCUGACCGGGGUUGCGGACAGUGUCUGGUGGGUAGUUUGACUGGGGCGGUCUCCUCCCAAAGCGUAACGGAGGAGCACGAAGGUUAGCUAAUCCUGGUCGGACAUCAGGAGGUUAGUGCAAUGGCAUAAGCUAGCUUGACUGCGAGCGUGACGGCGCGAGCAGGUGCGAAAGCAGGUCAUAGUGAUCCGGUGGUUCUGAAUGGAAGGGCCAUCGCUCAACGGAUAAAAGGUACUCCGGGGAUAACAGGCUGAUACCGCCCAAGAGUUCAUAUCGACGGCGGUGUUUGGCACCUCGAUGUCGGCUCAUCACAUCCUGGGGCUGAAGUAGGUCCCAAGGGUAUGGCUGUUCGCCAUUUAAAGUGGUACGCGAGCUGGGUUUAGAACGUCGUGAGACAGUUCGGUCCCUAUCUGCCGUGGGCGCUGGAGAAUUGAGGGGGGCUGCUCCUAGUACGAGAGGACCGGAGUGGACGCAUCACUGGUGUUCGGGUUGUCAUGCCAAUGGCACUGCCCGGUAGCUAAAUGCGGAAGAGAUAAGUGCUGAAAGCAUCUAAGCACGAAACUUGCCCCGAGAUGAGUUCUCCCUGAGACUUUAAGUCUCCUGAAGGAACGUU
rnacentral:rRNA from 1 species